GGGAGAAGCAGAUGAAUGGAAGAGAGGGGGCAAAAGGGAGAGGGAGAGACAGACAGAUGAGAAUUCAGGCAACCGUAUGGGAGCCAGAAGCCUUGUAUCUCUACUGCUGGUUUGAGUUCCUGUGUAAAGGCUCAGCUGUCCUUUACUUCCCAUCCUUGGAUGCUGACUUUUUUUUAGCAAGCAUACCUUAGGAAACUGAACUUCGCUUGAAACUGAAACUACCCUCCCAAAAUCAUCUCCAAGGU
rnacentral:lncRNA from 1 species